UUAUUAACUAUAAUGGUAGUAUUAUAAUAAUAAACCUUUGCAUCUUGGCGGUCUUAAAAUAUUAGAGAAACUCGCUUUUUAAUCGAUAAUACCCGUUAAAUUUAACUUAAUUUAACAGCUUAUAUACCGCCGUUAAAAAAGUUUUAAUUUAAACUUAAUUUAAAAAUUUUUAAAAAAAAAAAUCAGGUCAAGGUGUAGCCUUAUAUUUAAGUAAAAGUAAGUUACAAUAAAUAAAAUUUAAGGAAAAAACAUAAAAAUGUAAUUCAAAAAGAAUUUAAUUUCAAAUUUAUAAUUAAAAUUUUAAAUAGAAAUAUUAAUUUAAGACGU
rnacentral:rRNA from 1 species